GUGGGGAAUCUUGCGCAAUGGGCGAAAGCCUGACGCAGCCAUGCCGCGUGAAUGAUGAAGGUCUUAGGAUUGUAAAAUUCUUUCACCGGGGACGAUAAUGACGGUACCCGGAGAAGAAGCCCCGGCUAACUUCGUGCCAGCAGCCGCGGUAAUACGAAGGGGGCUAGCGUUGCUCGGAAUUACUGGGCGUAAAGGGCGCGUAGGCGGACAGUUUAGUCAGAGGUGAAAGCCCAGGGCUCAACCUUGGAAUUGCCUUUGAUACUGGCUGGCUUGAGUACGGGAGAGGUGAGUGGAACUCCGAGUGUAGAGGUGAAAUUCGUAGAUAUUCGGAAGAACACCAGUGGCGAAGGCGACUCACUGGCCCGUUACUGACGCUGAGGCGCGAAAGCGUGGGGAGCAAACAGGAUUAGAUACCCUGGUAGUCC
rnacentral:rRNA from 1 species